AUUGAACGCUGGCGGCAUGCCUUACACAUGCAAGUCGAGGGGCAUCACGGGGUAGCAAUACUCUGGUGGCGACCGGCGCACGGGUGAGUAACACGUAUGCAACCUGCCUCGUACAGGGGGAUAACCCGGAGAAAUUCGGACUAAUAUCCCAUAAUGAUAUUGAAAGGCAUCUUUUGAUAUUUAAAGCUCAGGCGGUACGGGAUGGGCAUGCGGGACAUUAGCUAGUUGGCAGGGUAACGGCCUACCAAGGCUGCGAUGUUUAGGGGACCUGAGAGGGUUAUCCCCCACACUGGAACUGAGACACGGACCAGACUCCUACGGGAGGCAGCAGUGAGGAAUAUUGGUCAAUGGGCGCAAGCCUGAACCAGCCAUCCCGCGUGAAGGAAGAAGGCGCUAUGCGUUGUAAACUUCUUUUCCAGGGGGAGAAUUUUUCCGUCGUGACGGGAAUUGACGGUACUCUGGGAAUAAGCAUCGGCUAACUCCGUGCCAGCCGCCGCGGUAAUAC
rnacentral:rRNA from 1 species